rnacentral:rRNA from 1 species
UAGUUGCAAGGUAUAGACCCGAAACCCGGUGAUCUAGCCAUGGGCAGGUUGAAGGUUGGGUAACACUAACUGGAGGACCGAACCGACUAAUGUUGAAAAAUUAGCGGAUGACUUGUGGCUGGGGGUGAAAGGCCAAUCAAACCGGGAGAUAGCUGGUUCUCCCCGAAAGCUAUUUAGGUAGCGCCUCGUGAACUCAUCUUCGGGGGUAGAGCACUGUUUCGGCUAGGGGGCCAUCCCGGCUUACCAAACCGAUGCAAACUCCGAAUACCGAAGAAUGUUAUCACGGGAGACACACGGCGGGUGCUAACGUCCGUCGUGAAGAGGGAAACAACCCAGACCGCCAGCUAAGGUCCCAAAGUCAUGGUUAAGUGGGAAACGAUGUGGGAAGGCAUAGACAGCCAGGAUGUUGGCUUAGAAGCAGCCAUCAUUUAAAGAAAGCGUAAUAGCUCACUGGUCGAGUCGGCCUGCGCGGAAGAUGUAACGGGGCUAAACCAUGCACCGAAGCUGCGGCAGCGACGCUUAGGCGUUGUUGGGUAGGGGAGCGUUCUGUAAGCCGUUGAAGGUGGCCUGUGAGGGUUGCUGGAGGUAUCAGAAGUGCGAAUGCUGACAUAAGUAACGAUAAAGCGGGUGAAAAGCCCGCUCGCCGGAAGACCAAGGGUUCCUGUCCAACGUUAAUCGGGGCAGGGUGAGUCGACCCCUAAGGCGAGGCUGAAAAGCGUAGUCGAUGGGAAACAGGUUAAUAUUCCUGUACUUGGUGUUACUGCGAAGGGGGGACGGAGAAGGCUAGGCUAGCCGGGCGACGGUUGUCCCGGUUUAAGCGUGUAGGGGGUGUGACCUGGUAAAUCCGGUUGCAUAU